GUGCUUGCUUCGAUAGCACAUAUACUAUUACUAAAAUUGGAACAAUGCAGAGAUUAGCAUGGCCCCUGCACAAGGAUGAUAUGCAAAGUCAUGAAGCAUUCCAUGUUUUU